ACUCCUACGGGAGGCAGCAGUGGGAAUAUUGCACAAUGGGCGCAAGCCUGAUGCAGCCAUGCCGCGUGUGUGAAGAAGGCCUUCGGGUUGUAAACACUUCAGUCGUGAGGAAGUAGUGUAGUUAAUAGCUGCAUUAUUUGACGUUAGCGACAGAAGAAGCACCGGCUAACUCCGUGCCAGCACCGCGGUAAUACGGAGGGUGCAGCGUUAAUCGGAAUUACUGGGCGUAAAGCGCAUGCAGGUGUUUGUUAAGUCAGAUGUGAAAGCCC
rnacentral:rRNA from 1 species